rnacentral:rRNA from 1 species
CCUACGGGGCGCAGCUUGCGAGAAACCUUCGCAAUGUGCGAAAGCACGACGAGGUUAUUCCUAGUGAUUUCCGCUGAGGAAAUCUUUUCUCAGAUCUAAAAAGUCUGGGGAAUAAGGGGAGGGCAAGUCUGGUGUCAGCCGCCGCGGUAAUACCAGCUCCUCGAGUGGUCAGGGCGUUUAUUGGGCCUAAAGCAUCCGUAGCCGGCUCAGUAGGUCUCCUGUUAAAUCCAGCGGCUCAACCGUUGGUCUGCAGGAGAUACCGCUGGGCUAGGAGGCGGGAGAGGCGGACGGUACUCCGAGGGUAGGGGUAAAAUCCUUUGAUCCCCGGAAGACCACCAGUGGCGAAGGCGGUCCGCCAGAACGCGCUCGACGGUGAGGGAUGAAAGCUGGGGGAGCGAACCGGAUUAGAUACCCGGGUAGUCCCAGCCGUAAACGAUGCGAGCUAGGUGACACAACGCCUUUCGGGGCGUUGUGGUGCCGCAGGGAAGCCGUUAAGCUCGCCGCCUGGGGAGUACGGACGCAAGUCUGAAACUUAAAGGAAUUGGCGGGGGAGCACCACAAGGGGUGAAGCCUGCGGUUCAAUUGGAGUCAACGCCGGGAAUCUUUACCGGGGAGCGACAGCAGAUUGAAGGUCAAGCUGAAGACUUUACCAGACGAGCUGAGAGGAGGUGCAUGGCCGUCGCCAGCUCGUGCCGUGAGGCGUCCUGUUAAGUUCAGGCCAACGAGCGAGACCCCUACUUUCUAAUUUGCUUUUAUCAGAACUAUCGCAAGGUGGUUUUGGUGGGCUUAGUG